rnacentral:rRNA from 1 species
AAAACAACGUGGAGGACCGAACCAGGGAUCGUUGAAAAGAUCUUGGAUGACUUGUGGGUAGGGGUGAAAUUCCAAUCGAACCUGGAGAUAGCUGGUUCUCCUCGAAAUAGCUUUAGGGCUAGCCUUAUUUUGAGCUUAACGAAGGUAGAGCACUGAAUGGGUACGGGGGCUUCACCGCCUACCAAACCUUAUCAAACUCCGAAUGUCGUUAAGCAUGAAUAGGAGUCAGACCAUGGGGGAUAAGCUUCAUGGUCAAAAGGGAAAGAGCCCAGACCGCCGUCUAAGGUCCCAAAAUCAUUGUUAAGUGGAAAAGGAUGUGAAAUCGCUUAGACAACCAGGAUGUUGGCUUAGAAGCAGCCACCAUUAAAAGAGUGCGUAAUAGCUCACUGGUCCAGGGGUUUUGCGCCGAAAAUGUAACGGGGCUCAAACAAUGUACCGAAGACGCGGAAUUACAGAUGUAAUUGGUAGAGGAGCGUUCUCAUUGGGGAGAAGCGAUACCGAGAGGAGUCGUGGACUAAUGAGAAGAGAGAAUGCCGGCAUAAGUACACGAUAAGGCAGGUGAGAAUCCUGCCCGCCGGAAGUCUAAGGGUUCCUGGGGAAGGCUCGUCCACCCAGGGUAAGUCGGGGCCUAAGGCAAGGCCGAAAGGCGUAGUCGAUGGGAAACAGGUAGAUAUUCCUGUACCACCGCUAUAUGAUGACGACGCAGUGACGCAGAAAGGUAGAGCGAGCGGCCAGUUGGUGAGCCGUUCAAGUGAGUAGGGUGUUUGGUAGGCAAAUCCGCCAAACGGAAGCCUGAGACACGAUGACGAGUGAAAAAUAGUAACGAAGUCCUUGAUCCUCCGCUGCCAAGAAAAGCUGCUAAGGAAUAUAGAGGUGCCCGUACCGCAAACCGACACAGGUAGACGAGGAGAGAAUACUAAGGCGCGCGAGAUAACUCUUGUUAAGGAACUCGGCAAAAUGAACCCGUAACUUCGGGAGAAGGGUUGCUGACCAUGGUGAGUAUGGACAAUACAGAGCUGAGGUCAGUCGCAGUGAAAAGGUCCAGGCGACUGUUUAGCAAAAACACAGGUCAUUGCAAAAUCGCAAGAUGAAGUAUAAUGGCUGACGCCUGCCCGGUGCUGGAAGGGUAAGGGGAAGAGUGCAAGCUUUGAACCGAAGCCCCAGUAAACGGCGGCCGUAACUAUAACGGUCCUAAGGUAGCGAAAUUCCUUGUCGGGUAAGUUCCGACCCGCACGAAAGGCGAAACGAUCUGGACGCUGUCUCAACAAGGGACUCGGUGAAAUUGAAAUUCCGGUAAAGAUGCCGGAUACCUGCGAUAGGACAGAAAGACCCCAUGGAGCUUUACUGUAGCCUGAUAUUGGGUUUCGGAUAUUCAUGUACAGGAUAGGUGGGAGACAAAGAAUCGAGGACGCCAGUUUUCGAGGAGUCAAUGGUGGGAUACCACCCUUAAAUGUUUGGAAUUCUAACAAGGAGUCUUGAAGCAGAUUAUUGGACAGUGUCAGGUGGGCAGUUUGACUGGGGCGGUCGCCUCCCAAAAGGUAACGGAGGCGCUCAAAGGUUCCCUCAGAACGGAUGGAAAUCGUUCGCAGAGUGCAAAGGCAGAAGGGAGCUUGACUGCGAGAGCAACAACUCGAGCAGAUAGGAAACUAGGACUUAGUGAUCCGGCGGUCGCGAGUGGAAGUGCCGUCGCUCAACGGAUAAAAGCUACCCUGGGGAUAACAG